AAGAACCAUGUGAUUGAUAGGAGUGCCCAGUGUGAAGCCUUGCACUCCAUCUGUUGUUAUGAGGGCUAACCUGCAUUCAGAGUAUUGGUCCAGGAGGGCUGCCUUUAAGAGCAGUCCGAACCUGCUCAGAGCUGUUUCCUAAGGCCACACCCACAUCACAACGCACAUUCUUUGUAGGAGAAGGGUGUGGUUGCUAUCUUGAGCAGCUUUUUUAUUAUGAAUAUUUGUUAAGAGAGAGCAGUGGUGGAGAGAUUGUUUUGGCUACUGUAAGAACAGGAUGCUGGACCAGAUGGGACUUUGUCCGGACUCAGCCGAAUCUUCUACUGUGGUGAAUGUACAGUACUGUUUAUGCAAAGACUGUCUGUUGUGGAAUCACCUUAUUAACUACAAACAAGUUCUUCAUUGGGUGAGGAAGUUGCACCCUGUUGCAUGCUCAUGGGAUUUAUUUAUGAGGCUCAUCAUUCCUAACUAUGUCUCCUCUCCUCAUGUAUGUGAAAGGAGGUUGUGGUUUGCAAGGAGGAGUUGAUAUUAUAAGUUAAACCCCUUAAGCUUCA